rnacentral:rRNA from 1 species
UGAUCCGGACGUGUCCGAAUGGGGCAACCCGCACGGCUGAAGGCCGUGCACCGGCGCGAGCCGGGGCGAACCCGGGGAACUGAAACAUCUUAGUACCCGGAGGAGAAGAAAGAAACAGUCGAUUCCCUUAGUAGUGGCGAUCGAAGAGGGAGGAGCCUAAACCGCCGCGUUCGAGGACGCGGCGGGGUUGUAGGACCGGCGAUGUCCGCAUCCGCGCAAACCGGAGCAUGUCUGGAAAGCGUGGGCGCAGAGGGUGACACCCCCGUACGGGUAACGUGCGGAUGCGGAUGCCGGCACCUGAGUAGGGCGGGGCACGUGGAAUCCUGUCCGAAUCAGCGGGGACCAUCCCGCAAGGCUGAAGACUGCCGAAGACCGAUAGUGUACCAGUACCGUGAGGGAAAGGUGGGAAGCACCCCGGGAGGGGAGUGAAAUAGAACCUGAAACCGUGCGCUUGCAAGCGGUCGGAGCACCAUUAAAGGUGUGACGGCGUGCCUUUUGCAUAAUGAGCCUACGAGUUGCCUCACGCCGGCGAGGCUAAGCCAUUCAGUGGCGGAGCCGCAGCGAGAGCGAGUCUGAACAGGGCGUUCAGUCGGCGUGAGCAGACGCGAAACCUAGUGAUCUACCCUUGUCCAGGGUGAAGGGGCCGUAACAGGCUCUGGAGGCCCGAACCAGUUUCCGUUGAAAAGGGCUUGGAUGAGGUGAGGGUAGGAGUGAAAGGCCAAUCAAACUGGGAGAUAGCUCGUACUCCCCGAAAUGUCUUUAGGGACAGCCUCGUCAGUUUCCCGCGUGAGGUAGAGCUACCGAUUGGAAGCGAGGGCUUCGCCGCCUAUCAAUUCCAGACGAACUCCGAAUGCGCGCGGUGAUCUAUGACGGGAGUGAGUCGUCGGGUGCUAAUAUCCGGCGGCGAGAGGGUAAGAGCCCAGACCUCCGGCCAAGGCCCCCAAGAACGGUCUAAGUUGAGACAGAACGAAGUGGCACCGCAGAGACAGCCAGGAUGUUAGCUUGGAAGCAGCUAUUCAUUCAAAGAGUGCGUAACAGCUCACUGGUCGAGCGGAGCCGCGUGGAUGAUGAUCGGGCAUCAAGACCGUCGCCGAAGCCGAGGACGACGCGCCAUAGCGCGCGCCGUGGUAGGGGAGCAUUCCGGUCGGCGCCGAAGGCGCGGCGCGAGCCGUGCUGGAGCGUCCGGAAAAGAAAAUGUAGGCAUGAGUAACGACAAGAGAUGUGUGAACAUCUCCGCCGAAAACCCAAGGUUUCCGGGGCCACGCUAAACGGCCCCGGGUCAGCCGGGAGCUAAGGGUAAGCCGAACGGUGAUCCCGAUGCCGAUGCGGUCAACAUUCCGCAGCCGGCGCGCCAGGCGCACACGUGACCGAGGAGUGACACUGCCGCGGGGAGACGGAAUUCCCCGUUGAAGGCCGUAGGGCGACCGAAAGCCGACAGUACGGCGAGCCUUCGGGCGAGCCGACAGAGCAGGUAACCAUACUCGCGAGAAAAGCGUGUGCGCGCCAAGCGUCGCGCCGCCCGUACCGUAAACCGACACAGGUGGGUGGGGAGAGUAUCCUGAGGCGCUCGAGUGAAUCACGGCCAAGGAACUAGGCAAAUUGACCCCGUAACUUCGGGAUAAGGGGUCCCACAGCGAUGUGGGCGCAGAGAAAUGGCCCAGGCGACUGUUUACCAAAAACAUAUGGCUAUGCGAAAUCGAUAAGAUGACGAAUAUGGCCUGACACCUGCCCGGUGCCGGAAGGUUAAGAGGGGGGGUCACCGAAAGGGAAGCCCUGAAUUGAAGCCCCGGUAAACGGCGGCCGUAACUAUAACGGUCCUAAGGUAGCGAAAUUCCUUGUCAGGUAAG